rnacentral:rRNA from 1 species
CCUACGGGCGGCAGCAGUGGGGAAUAUUGCACAAUGGGCGAAAGCCUGAUGCAGCAACGCCGCGUGAACGAAGAAGGCCCUUGGGUUGUAAAGUUCUGUUCUGAGGGAAGAAGAAAGUGACGGUGCCUCAGUUGAAAGCUCCGGCUAACUACGUGCCAGCCGCCGCGUCAAUACGUAGGGGGCAAGGGUUGUCCGGAAUUAUUGGGCGUAAAGAGUACGUAGGCGGUCUGUUAAGCGCAAGGUGAAAGGCAUAGGCUAAAACAAUGUGAGCCUUGGGCACUGGCAGACUUGAGUGAAGGAGAGGAAAGCGGAAUGCCUAGUGUAGCGGUGAAAUGCGUAGAUAUUAGGAGGAACACCGAUGGCGAAGGCGGCUUUCUGGACUGAAACUGACGCUGAGGUACGAAAGCGUGGGGAGCAAACAGGAUUAGAUACCCGAGUAGUC